UACGUAGGGUGCGAGCGUUAAUCGGAAUUACUGGGCGUAAAGCGUGCGCAGGCGGUUGUGCAAGACAGAUGUGAAAUCCCCGGGCUUAACCUGGGAACUGCAUUUGUGACUGCACGGCUAGAGUGUGUCAGAGGGGGGUAGAAUUCCACGUGUAGCAGUGAAAUGCGUAGAUAUGAGGAGGAAUACCGAUGGCGAAGGCAGCCCCCUGGGAUAACACUGACGCUCAUGCACGAAAGCGUGGGGAGCAAACAGG
rnacentral:rRNA from 1 species